rnacentral:rRNA from 1 species
ACGAACGCUGGCGGCGUGCUUCACACAUGCAAGUCGAACGGAAAGGCCCUGCUUUUGUGGGGUGCUCGAGUGGCGAACGGGUGAGUAACACGUGAGUAACCUGCCCUUGACUUUGGGAUAACUUCAGGAAACUGGGGCUAAUACCGGAUAGGAGCUCCUGCUGCAUGGUGGGGGUUGGAAAGUUUCGGCGGUUGGGGAUGGACUCGCGGCUUAUCAGCUUGUUGGUGGGGUAGUGGCUUACCAAGGCUUUGACGGGUAGCCGGCCUGAGAGGGUGACCGGCCACAUUGGGACUGAGAUACGGCCCAGACUCCUACGGGAGGCAGCAGUGGGGAAUAUUGCACAAUGGGCGGAAGCCGGAUGCAGCAACGCCGCGUGCGGGAUGACGGCCUUCGGGUGGUAAACCGCUUUCGCCUGUGACGAAGCGUGAGUGACGGUAAUGGGGAAAGAAGCACCGGCUAACUACGU